CCCUACGGGACGCAGCAGUGAGGAAUAUUGGUCAAUGGUCGGGAGACUGAACCAGCCAAGCCGCGUGAGGGAUGAAGGUACAGAGUAUCGUAAACCUCUUUUGUCAGGGAACGACGGCGGGGACGUGUCCCCGGAUGAGUGUACCUGCAGAAAAAGCAUCGGCUAACUCCGUGCCAGCAGCCGCGGUAAUACGGAGGAUGCGAGCGUUAUCCGGAUUUAUUGGGUUUAUUGGGUGCGCAGGCGGUCUGUUAAUUCAGCGGUCAAAGCACG
rnacentral:rRNA from 1 species